CUUCGCGCCCGAAUCCUCACACGCUGUCCCCGAGGGGGCCACUACCCGACCCUGCGGACAGGGACCGAUCUCGCGGCCGCUCAGCUGUGACAGUGCCGGCCGGCUCGCCCCGCGCAUGCGCACUGCCUUCCCUUCGGGCUCGGCCCCGCCCCCUCCGGGCUGCGCGCCUCGGACCGAGUCCGGGACUGGGGUCAGCGCAGGCGCAGACGCAGACGCUUAGCGGCGGCGCUUCCAGAACGCUGCGCUCGGGAGAGCCUCGGGGCCGGAGUCGCGUGGGCGCUGGGGGCGGGGCGGGCGCCCACUGCCUGAGCCGGAUGGCAGAGCCGUCUCUCCGCCAGCUCCCAGCGCUGGCUCGCGUCCCUGGGUUCCGAGCCCAGCGACGCGCAAGCUCCGUGGCCGCCAGCGCCGGCCCUGCCCCCUCGCUGCUGACCUCCGCCGCUUCACGCCGCGGACUCAGCUCCCGGGCUUUGCGGUCGCUGCCGGUGGGAUGGGGAGGGCCGCGAACCUCUGUCCUCUCAGGCAUUCACCGCGUGGCUGGGAGGGCGCCAGGAGGCCGAGGCCGGGGCUGCCAUGCGCUCCCGGUGCCUCACCCCGCAGGCUCCACAUGGACCAAACCCAGCUGGCAGUCAGAGGGCAAGAGCAUCUCGAUGCAGCGCAUACAGGCCAAUUCCAGGGUGCAGUGCAGCAUGGAAAAGGAGAAAUGUACCUGAAGAGGCAAAUGAAAGAUAUACAGCGUCACAGGCAAUCUUGCUUCUACUACCAUAAAAAUAGUUUACGUUUCUUAGACACUUA
rnacentral:lncRNA from 1 species